rnacentral:sRNA from 1 species
UUUGUCAAUGGUAGCGGAGAAUUGGUUUAUCGAAUGAUUGGUGCAAUACCUAUUGACAAAUUUUUGAAU